rnacentral:rRNA from 1 species
UACGGGGGGGGCAAGCGUUGUUCGGAAUUACUGGGCGUAAAGGGCUCGUAGGCGGCCAACUAAGUCGGAUGUGAAAUCCCCAAGCUUAGCUUGGGAACUGCAUCCGAUACUGGAUGGCUUGAAUCCGGGAGAGGGAUGCAGAAUUCCAGGUGUAGCGGUGAAAUGCGUAGAUAUCUGGAGGAAUACCGGUGGCGAAGGCGGCAUCCUGGACCGGCAUUGACGCUGAGGAGCGAAAGCUAGGGGAGCAAACGGG